GCCCUCCCCAGGCUGGAGCCCAGAAACCUAGUGGUGUCAGGCAGUCUGAGUUCAAAGGUGUAAGAUCUGGGGGGGCCCGUGCGGUAAAUCCCCCCAAGGAGGCAGGAGUGGAGUCCCAGCUCCCAUCAACGAGGCCGGAAAAUGAGGCCGAUCCUUCCCCUACCUUUCAUUCUCCUCGGGCCCUCCGCAGAUGAGGCGGUGCCCACCCACACUGGGGACGGCAGGCUACCAAGUCUGUGGAUUCGGACGCUGAGCUCAUCCUGGGCCACCCUCACAGACACACCCAGAGACAACGUGCGGGCACCCCACAGCCAGUCAGGUGGACCCCUAAAAUGAACCAUCACAUAUUUGAAUGGAGCUGGCAUUCUACAGAACGUGGAAGUCCAAACUGUCACAAAGCCACCGGCUCCCGUGCUCCCGGAGCCACGACAGGUGCGUGGUGCUCGCAGGGGACAUCAUUUAGCUUGUUAAUGAGGAAGACUGGCCAGCUUACGCUCAGGGGCUGUGGUUUGUUUAAUUACACACCAAGAGAACAGGAUAGAAAUCGAUACUCCAUCCCAUUCUCAAAAGCCAGAGCCACCCAGAUUCUGUGGGUCAUUCGCGCUUUGGAUUAACAUGUCCCCAAAUGGUAAGGCAAACAGCCGGCCGUCAGCGUCCUCUGGCCUCUUCAUUUCGUGCUGGCCGGGAAAACAGGAGCCAUUAGCCGUGUUCUUCAGGGUUAGGAAAUCGAUAACGGGCCAAUUGUCGAUAGACACACACUGUGAAGCAGACCAAAAAUUACACGAGGCCUUUAGGAGAAUGAUUGCUGUGUUCUUUAGUGCACCAGCCGUACAAUUCCAGCUUUCAAUUCCCUGUAACAUAUUCACCAAGAUUUAUGGGGCUUUUGUAAUGCCUAAUUGGGAUUGGUAACAAGGCCCUCGCUUUCAGUCCGUGGCAUGUUUGAAGCAUUCAUCAAAUCUAGGAGAGGAAAGAAGAAAUAAAAUCACACCCAGUCUUAGAAAUUAUAUGGAAAGGACCUCAGGGUAAUCGGAGGCUACCUGAUACUCUGACAUGUCUCUUUCUUCUCACACAUUAUCUCCGUCCCCACCCCCACCCCCACCCCCACCCCCACGGUCUGUGGAACGGAGGCUCAGAAGAGGUGAUCUGCCUUGACCCGAGUCGCUCAGCUGAACAGCGGUGGAAGUGAGAUUCACGAGGACAGCUAAGUAGCAAGACCCCUCCCCUUCCACCGAGCUGCAUCCCAGGGUCUCUCAGUGCCCGGAUGUUGUAGCGGUGUUGGCAAGAUGCCUACAGGUGUGAAGAUGUUGUCCUCGCCUCCAAAUCUGAUCAGCAUGUCUUCUGUUUCACGGGAGAUGAGCGGACAGAGGAAAACGAACCAUCAGGAUCACCUUCGGUGCGAUGCACCAGCCCUCAGCCCCGAGGUGGAAGAGGACGAAGUUCUGGGGGACGUGAUACGCAGCGUGGAGGCUGUGGCUCGUGACCCGCAAUUGUAUUCCUUGCAUUCGCUGAGAGUGGAUUUCGUGUGCUCUCACCACACGCACACGCGCCAAGGAGACUUGCAAUAAAUGUUAAUUAGCUUGAUGGGGGCAAUCAUUUCACGACGUAGGUGCGUAUCAGGGCGUAACGUCGUGCACCUUAAGUGUGUGUGGUUUGUCACCCCGCAAUGAAGACGAAGAACAAAAUUCCCUGCUCUUCCAGACCUUCUGGUGGCUUCUGGUAAACUCAAGGCGUCUUCUGUCGUUUCAGUAUGCAUAGUAUAUUGUCACUCUCAUGUGACCUAGCACAACGGUGAGCAAUAAAGAAGCAGCUGGGGCUCCAAGGAGCUUCCGGUCUGGUUAAGGAACUGAGUAGUGAGUGCAGAAGAGGCACUCUGGCCUCUCCCAGGGGAAGGGAAGUGAGGACAGACCAGGAGAGGAGGAGGCCGAGUUAACCAGGGAAAGGGGGAAGGGCAGAGUGAACCGGGCAGGGCAAACAGCAGGUGUAAAGGCCCUGUGGCAAGUAGUGAUGUGGGAAACAAAGGUGGAAGGAAAUGACAGGUAAAAUUCAAUUUCCUUAUAUCCUGCAGCCCAUUGGCAACUCCUUGAGGCCGGCAGAGUUUAGCGGCUCUCCAGGAGCCCCUUACUGUCUCAGUGCUCAUGCUUCGCUAGAGGGAAACACAACCUUAGCCUGACAGUAGCUCCUAGGCCUCCACUCUCUUGGGAAUCUUCUGUAGCAGAUGAAAAUCUCACUGGAAAUUUCCCCUUGACUUUAUGUACCUGCCCCCACUCCCAAGCAUAUAACCAGUGUCUCUUUGUGGUCCUGAGGCAGCUCUUUCUGCCCCCGGGUCCUGUCCCUGUGCUUUAAUAAAAUUACCUUUUU